rnacentral:rRNA from 1 species
AUACGUAGGUGACAAGCGUUAUCCGGAUUUACUGGGCGUAAAGGGCGUGUAGGCGGUCUUGCAAGUCAGAAGUGAAAUUCCUGAGCUCAACUCGGGCGCUGCUUCUGAAACUGCAGGACUUGAGUGCUGGAGGGGAUAGCGGAAUUCCUAGUGUAGCGGUGAAAUGCGCAGAUAUUAGGAGGAACACCGGUGGCGAAGGCGGCUAUCUGGACAGUAACUGACGCUGAGGCGCGAAAGCACGGGGAGCAAACAGGAUUAGAUACCCUGGUAGUCCGUGCCGUAAACGAUGAAUACUAGGUGUAGGGGGUAUCGACUCCCUCUGUGCCGCAGUUAACACAUUAAGUAUUCCACCUGGGGAGUACGGCCGCAAGGUUGAAACUCAAAUGAAUUGACGGGG